GGCGUUUAUGGAAUACGAAGAAGGUCUGCAAAACCUUUAUGCGCCGGUUCGAUCCCGGCCCGCGCCUCCA
rnacentral:tRNA from 1 species